rnacentral:tRNA from 1 species
GCCUGGGUGGCUCAGUCGGUUGAGCGUCCGACUUCAGCUCAGGUCAUGAUCUCACGGUCUGUGGGUUCGAGCCCCGCGUCGGGCU